rnacentral:rRNA from 1 species
GACGAACGCUGGCGGCGUGCUUAACACAUGCAAGUCGAACGGAAAGGCCCUGCUUUUGUGGGGUGCUCGAGUGGCGAACGGGUGAGUAACACGUGAGUAACCUGCCCUUGACUUUGGGAUAACUUCAGGAAACUGGGGCUAAUACCGGAUAGGAGCUCCUGCUGCAUGGGGGGGGUUGGAAAGUUUCGGCGGUUGGGGAUGGACUCGCGGCUUAUCAGCUUGUUUGUGGGGUAGUGGCUUACCAAGGCUUCGACGGGUAGCCGGCCUGAGAGGGUGACCGGCCACAUUGGGACUGCGAUACGGCCCAGACUCCUACGGGAGGCAGCAGUGGGGAAUAUUGCACAAUGGGCGGAAGCCUGAUGCAGCAACGCCGCGUGCGGGAUGACGGCCUUCGGGUUGUAAACCGCUUUCGCCUGUGACGAAGCGUGAGUGACGGUAAUGGGUAAAGAAGCACCGGCUAACUACGUG